rnacentral:tRNA from 1 species
AAGGAUUUAAGUUAACUAAACUAGUAACCUUCAAAGUUAAAAAUAAUUAUUCAUUAAGCCUUA